GGCUCAAUGGUCUAGAGGUAUGAUUCUCGCUUUGGGUGCGAGAGGCCCCGGGUUCGAUCCCCGGUUGAGCCCCA